rfam:Scytonema tolypothrichoides VB-61278 scaffold_119, whole genome shotgun sequence.
GUCAACACCUCUGCCUAAAGGCUAGGGCUUCUAGCUCCACUUUAGGAUUAGUUGACCCGGCUCAGUACCAGAUGUACUACGUUAUUGGUAAGUUUUUGAGUUCUCACUCUGGAAUGCUAACGCCAGUUCCGGACUCUGAAACUGAACGAUUAAACAGGUUUACACGGUUAAGCCAGUGUCGUUUAGAAAGUACCGACCAAUAACUUUGUCUCGGCUAACUUUAC